ensembl:piRNA 21ur-1676 ncRNA
UGUUUGCAGCAUUCGGACAGA